CGUUAAUCGGAAUUACUGGGCGUAAAGCGCAUGCAGGUGGUUUGUUAAGUCAGAUGUGAAAGCCCCGGGGCUCAACCUCGGAAUUGCAUUUGAAACUGGCAAACUAGAGUACUGUAAGAGGGGGUAGAAUUUCAGGUGUAGCGGUGAAAAUGCGUAGAGAUCUGAAGGAAUACCGGUGGCGAAGGCGGCCCCCCUGGACAGAUACUGACACUCAGAUGCGAAAGCGUGGGGAGCAAACAGGAUUAGAUACCCUGGUAG
rnacentral:rRNA from 1 species